rnacentral:rRNA from 1 species
UUUUUAAUAUUUUUAGGUAAUAUUAAAUAAUAAAACCAAUAUAUAAUGGCGGUUUUAACAACUUAGAGAAACUCGCUUUAUAAUCGAUAAUUCCCGAUAAUUUUUACUUAUUUUACAAAAAUUUAUAUACCGCCGUUCAAGACUUAAUAAAAAAAUUAAAUUCAUUUCAUAAAACUUUAUAAUAAAUCAGGUCAAGGUGUAAUUUAUUAAUAAGAAAAAGUAAGUUACAUUAAAAAUAAUUUAAGGCUUAAAAAUAAAAACUUAUAUAAAAAAGAAUUUAAAUGUAAAUUUUAAUUAAAAUUUUAAAUAGAAUUUUUAAAUUAAAACGC